ensembl:lncRNA
GACGAAGUAUAUUUUUAAUUAAAAUGUAAUUAGAAAGGAGCACUUUUAAAGUGGAUUUGAUUUAAAAUAAUGAUAAAGCUGUUUAUUUUAUGUAUUUGUAUAUCUUAUCCUCUAUCGUGUUUAAGAAGAAGAGGAUAAUGAAGCUUUUUAUGAAAUAAUAUUUGGGUUUAUUUUAUUUUAUUUUCUCCUCAAAUAUUCAAAUUUACGUCAACGUCCGUUACGUUGGUGACGUCACCGCGAGCGCGAGAAGUCGAACUGAGGAGCAGAAAGCGUUGUUAAUGUUAGUGUUAGUUCUGGCCCGUUUGGACCCAAACUAAAGUGUAUCAGUAUGAAGCAGGCGGAGACGGCGCACUGAUUCACUCUCAGAGCUCGAUUCACUAAUGACCGAAUCACCGAGGAACCGACCAAAGAUAACUCACACCCGCACAGAGAAGAAGAUGAGCUGGAGUGGGGCAAAGAGAACUGCAUUCAGAUCAAACGGAUACAAGAGAAGUGGCCGAGUUGUUUGAGGAUCUGAAGAAUCGAGUGUCGCAAUUCAACAUGCACAUCAGCGAAACUUCCUCUGACUACACCAGCGCACACACACACACAAAUUCAUAGUGCAGGUGGCGAUUGCAGGCGCAUUUUAUCCGAACUGCUUCCUCCAGGGAACUGUGGACGAGGAGCUCGCCUCCAAGGAACUCUAUGGAAACGACCCCAGGACCACCAUAGUG